rnacentral:misc_RNA from 1 species
ACACCUCAACUCUCGUGGUCCGCCAUGAUGAGCUUGGACUUUGGGGGUCUUGCUGGCCUAGUGUCGGCUCCUCUCAAAUGGAUCAGCUUGCCAGUGUUUGGUGGCGUCGCAGGUGUGAUAACUAUCUACGCUUGUGGUUCUCUGCCAUGUAACCUUCAGUGAUGGAGGUUCGCUGGAGCUCACAGAUGUCUCUCCUGGGAGGACAGCUCUUUGAAC